CGCGCAGGUGGUUGAUUAAGUCUGAUGUGAAAGCCCACGGCUUAACCGUGGAGGGUUAUUGGAAACUGGUCGACUUGAGUGCAGAAGAGGGAAGUGGAAUUCCAUGUGUAGCGGUGAAAUGCGUAGAGAUAUGGAGGAACACCAGUGGCGAAGGCGGCUUCCUGGUCUGUAACUGACACUGAGGCGCGAAAGCGUGGGGAGCAAACA
rnacentral:rRNA from 1 species